GUAGUAUUUGAUUCUAGUUCAGAAAAAUUUUUAUUGGAUGAUUUUAAUAUGUAAGUUUUGGCGUGAUCAAGGAAUUAUUUUAAAAAUAGUUCCAAUAAAUUAUUCGCAGUUUUUAUUUUUAUUAUUUUAAUAAUUUAAGAUAUAGUUAAUCUUAAAAUGUCUAGCGAAAAUUGUGCCAGCAGCUGCGGUUAUACAAUUAGGCAAUAUUAUUUUUAUUAGGGAAUUAUUAAUUUUUAUUAUUGGUUUUAGGAUUAAUUUUAAUUUUUAAGUGAAAUUUAAAUUUUAAUUAAAAAAUUUGGUAAUAUUAAGAUUAUAAGAAAUUCUUAAUUGAAACUAGGAUUAGAUACCCUAUUAUUUUGAAUGUAAAUAUGUUUUCUUAGUAUUAAUAGUUAAGAUCUUUAAAUUGAAAGAAUUUGACGGUAAUUUUAAUCGUUUUAGAGGAACCUGUUCUGUAAUCGAUAAUCCACGAUAAAUUUUACCUUAUUUAUGUUUGUAUAUCUCUGUCUGAUGAAUGUUUUAUUAGAAUAUUUUCUUAAAUUUUUAUGGAAAUUUAUGUCAGGUCAAGGUGCAGCUAUAUUAAGGAUUGAAAUGGGUUACAUUUAAAUAAUAAAAUUAUUAUUGGAUUGGAAAUAUAUAUUUAUUUUCAUGAAAUUGGAUUUAAUUGUAAUGUUUAAAAUAUAUUAGACAUGAUAUUUGUCUUUGAUUAAGUACACAUCGCCCGUCACUCUCAUUAUUAAAAUGAGAUAAGUCGUAACAAAGUAGUUCUAUCGGAAGAUGGAUCUAGAAUUAU
rnacentral:ncRNA from 1 species